rnacentral:misc_RNA from 1 species
UUGAGUACAGAAGAAAGAAUUAUAAUUUCCACAAAAGAUGUCACCUCCAAAUAUAAAGCCCAAGUUUAAACAAAAGUCAAAGAUUGAGACUACAAUCAUAGAGUAAAUAAAGGCACAGCUAUAUGGACGUAUACAUUAAUGAACAGAAAUGUAGGUUCCUUCUUUUGUUUGUGAAAUUAUAAUUCUUUCUUCUGUACUCAA